rnacentral:rRNA from 1 species
GACGAACGCUGGCGGCGUGCUUAACACAUGCAAGUCGAACGAAGAGCGAUGGAAGCUUGCUUCUAUCAAUCUUAGUGGCGAACGGGUGAGUAACGCGUAAUCAACCUGCCCUUCAGAGGGGGACAACAGUUGGAAACGACUGCUAAUACCGCAUACGAUCUAACCUCGGCAUCGAGGAUAGAUGAAAGGUGGCCUCUACAUGUAAGCUAUCACUGAAGGAGGGGAUUGCGUCUGAUUAGCUAGUUGGAGGGGUAACGGCCCACCAAGGCGAUGAUCAGUAGCCGGUCUGAGAGGAUGAACGGCCACAUUGGGACUGAGACACGGCCCAGACUCCUACGGGAGGCAGCAGUGGGGAAUCUUCCGCAAUGGACGAAAGUCUGACGGAGCAACGCCGCGUGAGUGAUGACGGCCUUCGGGUUGUAAAGCUCUGUUAAUCGGGACGAAAGGCCUUCUUGCGAAUAGUUAGAAGGAUGACGGUA